UACGUAGGGUGCGAGCGUUGUCCGGAAUUAUUGGGCGUAAAGAGCUCGUAGGCGGUUUGUCGCGUCUGCUGUGAAAACCUAAGGCUCAACCUUGGGCUUGCAGUGGGUACGGGCAGACUAGAGUGCGGUAGGGGUGACUGGAAUUCCUGGUGUAGCGGUGGAAUGCGCAGAUAUCAGGAGGAACACCGAUGGCGAAGGCAGGUCACUGGGCCGGCAACUGACGCUGGAGGAGCGAAAGCAUGGGGAGCGAACAGG
rnacentral:rRNA from 1 species